UUAUUAUGUCACAGUAUCCCAGAGGGUACUUUUGAGCUCACUAACAGUUGGCCUUGGCCUUAGUGAAGGAUGGUCCUGGUAGAAAUGAUCAGUCUUAACACGCACUAGCUAAUAAUAAUUCUGAUGUUAAUAACUGCUGAUUUUGCUGAGUGCUAUCUGUCAAGCACUGUGAUAAAUGCAUUCUGUGUAUGACCUCAUCUAAUCCUCGUCAUAAUCCUAUAAAGAAGGCUGAGUAGUAUUGGGUAUAGAGUUGAACUUGAAUUUCAUCCAUCUGGAGCCAGACUGACUGGGUUCACAUGCUGACUCUUAUGAGCUCCAUGACCUGGGAACUUGGCUCAAUGUUUCCCUGUGUCUUGGUGUUUCUGUCUAUAAAAGGGGGAUAAGAGGGUCUACCUUUGGUGCAUGAGUUCAUUUGUGGAGUGGGCAUCUUGAGAGCUAGGGUAGCUGGAUGCUGGCAUGCAGUGCCCAUGGUGGUUUAAAGACCCAGCGCUUCAUCCAACUGGCACCACCCAUGCUCUACUGUGAAUGAAUCCAAGAAAUUCAACAGGAAUUUCUCAAGUCCCUGGGCAUGGACCUGUGGGGAUUUGUGACCUUUUAGGAUAUGAGUUGCACAGCUGGAAGUGAGAGGUGGG
rnacentral:lncRNA from 1 species